CCUACGGGGGGCAGCAGUGAGGAAUAUUGGUCAAUGGGCGAGAGCCUGAACCAGCCAAGUCGCGUGAGGGAGUACUGCCCUAUGGGUUGUAAACCUCUUUUGUCGGGGAGCAAAAGCCGGACGUGUCCGGCUGUGAGAGUACCCGAAGAAAAAGCAUCGGCUAACGCCGUGCCAGCAGCCGCGGUAAUACGGGGGGUGCGAGCGUUAUCCGGGUUUUUUGGGUUUAAAGGGGGCGCAGGCGGAGUUUUAAGUCAGCGGUAAAAUCGUGGGGCUCAACCCCAUCCAGCCGUUGAAACUGGGGUUCUUGAGUGUGCGAGAGGUAUGCGGAAUGCGUGGUGUAGCGGUGAAAUGCAUAGAUAUCACGCAGAACCCCGAUUGCGAAGGCAGCAUACCGGUGCACAACUGACGCUCAGGCACGAAAGCGUGGGUAUCGAACAGGAUUAGAUACCCUAGUAGUC
rnacentral:rRNA from 1 species